UCGUGCCUGCGCAACCCAGGCGGCGCGAUCGGCUGGGCGUGGAUCGCCCACGAGGGAGGCCGGUUCGACUCCGGCGGCGCCGC
rnacentral:tRNA from 1 species